CUGUGUUGCUGUUCUGUGAGCCAGGAGGGUAACCCAACCGCUUUUCUAAAUCCUGACUCACUUUAGAGAGAACUGAGCGCUUGCCAUCCACUCAUCCUGGAAGCCGUUCAGAAAGAAAAGCACCAGCUCAUAUUUGAAGUUGGGCCCAGGUGGGGACAAAUGGGUGUUGAUACUGGUACAGAGCUUCCCCAAAGGAAAGUGAAGCCUAGCCAGUGAAGGUUUUGUAGGACAAAAAUGCUAAAGACAGAGUUGCUUUAAUCGUCACUGUAACACUGAACUCAAGAAUGAACACAGAGUCAUGUUGAGUAGGAAGCCAAAGGAAGAAGUUGAACUGAGGAAGCGAUCAGAAAAAAAAGUCGCAUCUCUAACCAAAAGCAGCAAGAGAGCUUGUCCCCUUGAGUGCUCGGCCAUUCCAUAUGCAGAAAAUGGGUCCACGUGAGUGAUUUAUUUGGAGGAAAUGCUGUCUCUAGCCUGCUCCAACCCACGAGAAAAAGGAAAUGUGAACAAAGGGACUCUGCUGGCCCGGUUGUCACUUCAUCUAAUCAUGCCUCUAGAAGAGAGACCAAGCCAAACUAAGCAAGCUUACUUCUAGCCUCUGAUUUGCUGUCUGACAUUCUGCCAGGUGUCACUCAUGUGUCACCUCCUUCAGGAGGCCUUCCCUGACCAUCACGUUUUAGAUGGGUCCUUCUUCCGUCUCCAUCAGACUGUGCUGCUACAAAUUGCCUGAAUGGAAUAUCGUUGUCCUUCCUGCAUAGAUUAGACACAUACUAUACCAAAGCCAUUAAAAAAAUCAGCCGGCAAAUUUGUGAAUCAUUAAGGAGCAGAGAUGAAUUAGGUAGUUUUCAAUGUCUUACUAAUUCCCACUAUAUUUUCAGAUUAUUGUCACUGAAUGUAAAACAGCCAACUGAAUCAAGUAUACUCUUUCACAAAUAAAUGUUAUAAAAUG
rnacentral:lncRNA from 1 species